rnacentral:rRNA from 1 species
CUACGGGACGCUGCAGUGGGGAAUAUUGGACAAUGGGGGAAACCCUGAUCCAGCAAUGCCGCGUGUGUGAAGAAGGCCUGCGGGUUGUAAAGCACUUUCGGUUGGGAGGACUGCUUCUAGCACUAAUAUUGUUGGAAGUUGACGUUACCUUCAGAAGAAGCACCGGCUAACUCCGUGCCAGCAGCCGCGGUAAUACGGAGGGUGCAAGCGUGAAUCGGAAUUACUGGGCGUAAAGCGCGCGUAGGCGGCUAGAUCAGUCGGGUGUGAAAGCCCCGGGCUUAACCUGGGAACUGCAUCCGAUACUGUCUAGCUUGAGUACAGGAGAGGCGAGUGGAAUUCCACAUGUAGCGGUGAAAUGCGUAGAUAUGUGGAGGAACACCAAUGGCGAAGGCAGCUCUCUGGCCUGAUACUGACGCAGAGGUGCGAAAGCGUGGGGAGCAAACAGGAUUAGAUACCCCGGUAGUC